CCUACGGGAGGCAGCAGUGGGGAAUUUUGGACAAUGGGCGCAAGCCUGAUCCAGCAAUGCCGCGUGCAGGAUGAAGGCCUUCGGGUUGUAAACUGCUUUUGUACGGAACGAAAAAGUCUGCCCUAAUACGGUGGGCCCAUGACGGUACCGUAAGAAUAAGCACCGGCUAACUACGUGCCAGCAGCCGCGGUAAUACGUAGGGUGCGAGCGUUAAUCGGAAUUACUGGGCGUAAAGCGUGCGCAGGCGGUUAUAUAAGACAGAUGUGAAAUCCCCGGGCUCAACCUGGGACCUGCAUUUGUGACUGUAUAGCUAGAGUACGGUAGAGGGGGAUGGAAUUCCGCGUGUAGCAGUGAAAUGCGUAGAUAUGCGGAGGAACACCGAUGGCGAAGGCAAUCCCCUGGACCUGUACUGACGCUCAUGCACGAAAGCGUGGGGAGCAAACAGGAUUAGAUACCCUGGUAGUCCACGCCCUAAACGAUGUCAACUGGUUGUUGGGUCUUCACUGACUCAGUAACGAAGCUAACGCGUGAAGUUGACCGCCUGGGGAGGACGGCCGCGAGUAGUAACGUACAAGUAGAGUUAGACGGCGUGAGACGUAGACCGACGGACGACGACGAGGGAGGAGG
rnacentral:rRNA from 1 species